GCUUUGCCAAGAGGGGAGUAAAAGGGUCUAGGAAAAUCUCUCAAGUAGGAUUCCCUGAAGAAUCCCAUCAGUCUGGGGAUCCUGUCUAGACUUUAGAUUGGAGCAGAGAUGAACUGUGAAGGCACAGACCAAGCUAGAACCAUGUAACUCAGAGUGUGGUCCUUGGAGCAGCAGCAUCCUGGAAGCUUGUUGAAAAGCAGAACCACACACUGUAUUCUGGAAUUAGUGAACCAUAGUCUCCCUGUUUAACAAAAGCCUCGGGUCAUUCGUACAUCUUAAAGUCGGAAGGGCUCUACCCUGGAGGUAUCUUCUCUAAGUGAGAACUGAAGACAAGUGGGACAGCUGGAUCAUUAACUUCAGCUUCCCAUCCCUCUAGUUCCUCCUCCUCCUCGUCACUUUCCUGGGCCAUAAGGGUUACCCUUCAAGGUAGAGGCCUGGAGUGAUUCCAAAGACCAAAGUAAGUGCUGCAACCUCCCCAAAUUCCAGCAGCCUCCCCAAAUUUGUCAGGGGGAGGUGACCUGAAUUCUCUUAAGAUAAAACUGGAGAAAAGGCACAGACUUCCAAGAAUCCCGUAUUCUUCAAUACUUUUUAAGUUGCAAUAGCAAAAACUUCCAGUUCAAAUAAGAGUAAGCAACAAAAAGAAUUUACCAGUUCAUUUAACUGAAAAGUGAGGGUGUGGAGCAACUGCAGGCACAGCUGGGUCUAUUUAAAUCAGCUAGGAAAGAUUGAGGGCAAAAGGAAAAGAGGGCAGCAGAGUGUGGGAUGGUUAGAUAGCAACGCAUGGAGUUGCAGUCUGUGGGGCCGUGUUAUAGAAAGCUGCCUCUGCCUUUUCAGCAUCUGUUUUUCUCUGUGUUGGCUUCUUUCUCUGGAAGCUUCAUUCAUAACCGUCAAUAAUGAAAGGGCAGAAGGAGGAACUGACAAGGACUAAGUACAGCACUGGAGGGCCCUGCUGUUCUAGGCUGUUGAUGGAGUUGGAUACCAAAACCCUACUCUCAUUUUGCUACCAAAAGGAAUUAUGUUGUGUCCUCACCUUUAAAUGCACUGUUCUGGAAGUUCUGCAGCAGGAAUGCCUUGGUUUAGAUGUUGACAGGAGCCCAGCGAUUUACUUCACAUCCAUUUGGGUACUUUUCGAGGCAGAUAGGUGCAGAGCCAAAAAACACCACCUAGGGACUUCCCUGGUGCUUCAGCGGUUGCUGAAGCUUAAGCUCGAAUAAUUUAGCCACCUGCUGUGAAGAGUGGACUCACUGGAAAAGACUCUGAGGCUAGGAAAGAUUGAGGGCAAAAGGAGAAGAGAGCGGCAAAGUGUGAGAUGGUUAGAUAGCAACACCAACUCAGUGGACAUGAACUUGAGCAAACUCCAGGGCACAGUGGAGGACAGAGAAGCCUGGUGUGCUGCAGUCCAUGGGUCGCAAAGAGUCGGACACGACUGAGCGACUAUAAACAACAACAACCAGUGGUUAAGACUCCGCCUUGCAAUGCAGAGGACUUUGGUUCAAUCCCUGGUCUGGGAACUAAGAUUCCACACGCUACAGAGUAACUAAACCAACACGCCACACUACUAAGCCCUGAAGCCACAGAGAGUCCAUGCACCACAGUGGAAGAUCCUGCAUGAUGCGACAAAGAGCCCGCGUGCCACAACGAAGACGGGAUGCAACUGAAUACUUUUUUUCUUUUUUUUCUUAAUUAAUUUCUUUUUUAACUGAAGGAUAAUUGUUUUACAGACUUUUGUUGUUUUCUGUCAAACAUCAAAAUGAAUCGGCCAUAGGCAUACA
ensembl:lncRNA